rnacentral:rRNA from 1 species
UUGCCCAUCAUCUCCUGGUUUUCCCCUCUGUGGAAGGCCCCAUUGCCCUUGAAGAUUAAGAUUUUUGUAUGGCAACUACUACGAGACCGCAUCCCAUCAGGGACUGAGGUGCUUAAGCGGCAUGGCCCGGGUGAUGGCAUGUGCCCCCUUUGUGCGGUCCCGGAAACCAAGACUCACAUCUUAUUCUCAUGCACGGCAGCACGGGUCCUCUGGACAUACGUCCGCGAGGCCCUGGGGCCCAACUGUGAGGCCCUGGACUUGGCGGGGUUCCUGUAA